ensembl:lncRNA
CCCAGGCCCGGCGAGGCCACCCCGCCCCAGGCCGCAGCUCCUCCCUCGGCUCCUGCUCCCGGGCGCUCGGCGUCUGUCCCGCCCCAUUAGCCCUUUAUUGUGGAUCAUUUUGUUCUCCAAUUUUGCGCCCUUACAAUUUAGCGCGUCAUACACUGUCUUGCUCUCUAACAUUUAAUUUAGUGUCCCUUGGACUCGGUUUCUUCGUCUCUAAGUGCAGUGGAGGCAGAAAGGGAGAACUUCAGAGGCCACUCAGCACCAGCACUCCCUCAGGGCCUGGAGUAAUGAAAGCCAGCACCGUGGGCCAGGCGCCUUGCUGAGUACUUCCUAUGCAUUGUUCACUGGGUUACUUCAACAAUCCCACAAGGAGGAAGUGGUCACACGCCUCUUGCCGUCCCCCCAUUUUAUAGAUGAAGCUCAGAGAGGUUUAGAAACUUGUCCAAAGUCGUCAUGUUACAGAUGAGGAUCUGAGGAACAGAGAGCCCUGUGUUUGCCCAGAGUGCCACCCCCAAGUGCUGCCAGCAAGUGUCAUGUGAGCCCCGGAAUCUGCAUCCCACUGUUUUAUUUUGUCAAUCCUUACAACAGCCAGAUGGAUUCCGUAUUAUGGUGCCCAUUUACAGAGGGGAAAGCUGAUGAGGCUCAGAGAGGUUAAGUAACUUGGCUACUAUCUCACAGUGAGGAAGUGGCAGAGUCCAGGCUGGGAACCAGGGUCAUCCAAAGCCUGUGGUCUAAACACUUAACAACACUGCCUCCCUCCACCAAGCCUGGGGCUCAGGACCAUUAACAGGGACUGAGCCUCCUCUGUCAGGGUGUGGAAUCAGAAUAUAACAACAGCCUCCGGGAGAGGCCCCCAGGGAUCUGCAUUCAGAUGCUGCCCUGAGAGCAGGAGGUCUGAGCAGGGAAGGGAGGGGGGAGCCUGGAACCCAAACAGCAAAGGAGCCCCGGGCCUGGGUGGGCUCCCUGCAGGGGCCUGGGUGACGCGGGCAGCACUGCCAGAGAGAGGCAGCAUCACUUUGUGACUGUGGCCAACACUGUCCACUGGCUGGAGGCUGGUCAGGCACAGCCAGGGUGGCUGGCAGCCGCCUCGGCUCCCAAAAUUCACUAUCGGUCCUAGAUCCUGCGGAAGUUUAUGGUCCAGCAUAAUUCUUCUAAUUGCCAUCGUCAUGGCUAAUAACAUUAUGUGACAGCCAUAAACUCAGAGAGUUGAAGUGGGCCCCGGAGGACAGAACAACUGAAGAUGGUUUGGAUGGGAUUCAGAGGGAGGCAGGAGGGCUCAGGUUGGGGACCAUGGCUGUGCCUUCUGGGGAUGGGUGUCUUUUCACAGAUUCAUUGGAAGCUGCACUCACAGAAGAUCAGGAUGGGCGCAGGGGACGCUGGGUCAUGAGCCGUUCAUCGAUAGAGAUUAUCAGCGCAGAGCUUGAGAUAAUUGUCAGUUGUAAGGUAAGGCUUACAGAAGAAUGGGACACUCCUGGACCCUUAGAACGUCAACAUCACAGGACCCUCAGGGGUGGGCGUGGUAGACACACAGCUGGGUGACCCAACCCAGGCUCCAGAGCCGGCCCAGGCAGGGAGCUUCCAAAUGAUUCUAAUGGAGACCAUCUCAGGCCGACAUCUGAGGACUCUCCCCCGUGGGACCGGGCUGCGUCACUCUCUCCUUCGACCCCAGCCCCUCCAGGACAGGGGUCUCUGCCCAGAAUGGGAGUCAGGGCUUUUAUUGCUUUGGCUCCACUGGGGGCAGGGAGCUGCUCCUCACCCCUCCCUAACGCAGCUCCACUUUCCCGUCCUCACUCUUGCCCCUGCCCGCCAGGCCCCCCGGCCUCUCCUCUCUCACACUGGCUUGUCGCGGGUCCUCCAAGCACAGAGCCCCUCCUGCCUCCAGGCCCUCACGUGUGCUGUUCCCUCUGCCCCGACGGGAUGCCCCUCUUUCUCAUCCCCCCGCGUCCCCAUCUCAUCGUUCAGAUCUCCAUUCUGCUCCCACCUCCACACAAGCCACCUGCGACCCGGCCCGGUCAGGUCCCUGCCCCGUGUUCACAGCCCUGAACCUUUGCUUCAGGGUCACAGUCCCCUUUGCAGUUUGGCGUGAUUGUGGGAUCAUUUGGUAACGGGUCCCGCACUGCGAGCCUGCUGGCCCGGGAGCCCACACAGCCCGGCGCGGAGCACCCAGCCCUGCGGUGGGUCAGAGGACGGCGGCUGGAACCUGACGUCCUGGAGCCCCGUCCGCCUUCACUGACCCGGGGUCGCCUCCCUGAGCCUCGGUGUCCUCAGCUGGAAAUGGGACCCUGGACUCGCGAAAGCGAACCUUGUGUCAUUGCAUCUGAACCCCGAGCUCCGUGGGGGCCGCAGCCCCCGUUCUCUGGGAGGCUCACAGCAGGGAAGGCCCUGGGCUGCCCUGGGCUCCGAGAGGCUGGCGCUGGGUGGACACGGACGCAGGUGAUGGCACAUCACACCGCAGCUGUGGGUGCCCACCACCCAGAGCCUGGCCUGUGGUGGGCCCACGAGACAUGUUUAUUGAAUGGAUGAAUUGGAGUCAUGCGAGGGGUCCCUGGAGGUGGUCUUCAGUUUUGAGGAGGAUGGCUGGAAGCAGAAAUCAGAGCUGUGGUCGGGGGACAGAUGCCGUGGACACAGGGGAGGGUUCACGGGUGAGAGCCGGACUGUGGAGCCAGAACUCCUGGGUCCAAACCCCAGCUGUGUGACCGCGGGCAGAGUGUUCAACCCCUCUGUGCGCACUCUCCUCAUCUGAAAAUGGAAGUGUAUAGCUGUUGUUGUUGUUACCAACGCCUCUUCCCUCCUCCCCCACCGGCUCCCCUGCCCUCCCCACACCCCACCUCGGGCCCACUCCUCCCUCCUGGAUGCCUGCCGCAGUCCCCCUGGGGCGGGGCUCGCAGAGACCUUGGGUGAGGCCCCAGCUGCACUUCGCGGGGGGGGCCUCUGGAAACCUGAGCGGCCUUCGAGGGGAGAAGGGACGUGUCCCUCAGAGUGAGCGGCUUUCUCAUCGUCCCUCCUGGGCAGAGACGAACUGACGUUUCUGAUGCUCAGGAGCCCCUCUCUGCCGUCCGGGAGAUGAGAGGCAGAGGAUCCCAGGGGCAGGCUCCUCGCUGCACACCCACUGCGCGCGGGCCCGUCACAGACGCCGUCUCUGCUGACUGUCCUCCUCCCAGUGCACAGAGGGAAACGCAGGCUCAGGGCAGCACGAGGCUCGCAUGCGGCAAGGCUGGGGCUGGAGUCCGGCCGGCACGCCUGCCACGUAGUACUUGCUUGCCAAGCUCCGGGCUCUGCCAGGCCCUGUGUCUGUGCCCCGACCUCCCUCCACCCACCCCCGCGUCCCGGCUGCAAGAGGCAGGUCCCAGGUCCUGAGGGGACCCAGGGACCAUCAGAGUCUCCCCAUAACUUUAGCUCUUGCUACACCCCCACACCAAGUCCCUUGAAGGGAAAGAAACAAGAAAGGAAGACCCGCUGCCUGGUUUCUUGUGGCUCCAAAAUCUUCCUCUUGUCAUCAACUCAGGUGCGUUCACUGAGACCGUCACGGGGGAGGGAGGACAGCCGCAGUGGUGACCGUCGGCUGUGUCCCCAUCUCUGCGUCAGACCACAGGGUGUCCAGCCCAGGAGGAGGCCCCGAGCUCACACCCCUGCUCCUGGCAGGCAGGCUGAGCACAUGUCCCCUGCAGGGCCCUCAGCGCCUCAGAAGGCCUGUGCCCGACAGGAGAGCAGCUCACCCUGCGGGGUCUCUGCCCGGGGGACCUUCUGGCUGGACUGCAUUUCCUGGCAGCUGAGGGUCUGUCCGAGGGGCCACCAGGCAAAUGGCCACUUGUGUAAAGUGCCAUUUCCGCCAUAUUGGGGAAGGGAGAGUGAUCGGCCAUGUCACGUGGUCCUGGCAGGGGGAAGCGAUGACCUCCAAAGGACAGAGCAUCUACUAAGGUCCAACUCUGCACAGGCCCCAGGCCGGGUGCUUGGCCCCAUCCCCUCCCUCCGUCCUCAGAGCCACCCUGGGAUAGGCUGCGUCAUACUGAGGCGCAGAGAAGCCAGUGAACUGCCCAAAGUCCCUCUGCCUUGGGUGGCACCAUUGGGACAUGAAGCAG